UAGCGCAGUGAUGCUCUGUUGCGGGCAGUAAUGCAUAUCCCCAUACAGAAGCCAAGAAACAUGCCAUUUGUAUUUAGCUGGGUAGGCUUAGUGACACGGAUUAAUCUUUCAGAUGGAAUUGCAACACACAGGGCUGUUAGAAGAAAACCCUCAGUGGAAAAAGAAAAAAAGAAAAGAAAGAAAGAAAGAAAAAGAAAGAAAAACAAAGAAGAGCUGUUUAAAUCCAGAACAAACAUGAAGUUGAAGGUCAGGGAUGCAUGGAAGGUGCUGAACCCACAGCAGGUCACUUCUCUCAGCAGCUUGUGCCAGGGAAGGCAAUUUCCAGGACCAGACGUUAAUCCCGUAAAGCUUGGCAGAGGGACACCCAAACACAUGGCAAAGGAUGUUACCUCAGGAAUGGGGCUCAGGGUUGGCGCUAACUGGAGGAGCUGCCCAGGUGGGCAGGACCGCC
rnacentral:lncRNA from 1 species